AUUCUGCUAGCAGUUUCCAGGUGAAGAUGUAGAACUCUCAGCUUUGCCUGCACCAAGACUGAUAAUUGACUGAACCUCUGAACCUCCCCCCCUUCAGAUAGACCCAGUUUAUCCAUGACUGCUGGACAGCUACAGGUAGUGCCCGAAGGAGGGAACUGAAAAUGGGGGAACCCACUGAGGAACGCUGCCUUGGGUGAAGCUCCACAGAAAAUGAAAGAAAAGUAACAGUAUCCUGCUUGGUGAUUUGGGUGCCAAGGAACUCUCUGCUGAGUGUCUAUGGAACCCUACGACUAGACACACUUAUACCUAGGUGAAAUGGAAAGAUGUGCAUAAUGACAUACGGCAUGAUCCU